AAAUUGAAGAGUUUGAUCAUGGCUCAGAUUGAACGCUGGCGGCAGGCCUAACACAUGCAAGUCGAACGGUAACAGAAAGCAGCUUGCUGCUUUGCUGACGAGUGGCGGACGGGUGAGUAAUGUCUGGGAAACUGCCUGAUGGAGGGGGAUAACUACUGGAAACGGUGGCUAAUACCGCAUAACGUCGCAAGACCAAAGAGGGGGACCUUCGGGCCUCUUGCCAUCAGAUGUGCCCAGAUGGGAUUAGCUUGUUGGUGAGGUAACGGCUCACCAAGGCGACGAUCCCUAGCUGGUCUGAGAGGAUGACCAGCCACACUGGAACUGAGACACGGUCCAGACUCCUACGGGAGGCAGCAGUGGGGAAUAUUGCACAAUGG
rnacentral:rRNA from 1 species